AAUGAACGCUGGCGGCAGGCUUAACACAUGCAAGUCGAACGAUUAAAGCCACUUCGGUGGUGUAUAAAGUGGCAAACGGGUGAGUAACACGUGGGAAUAUACCUUUUAGUUCGGGACAACAGUUGGAAACGACUGCUAAUACCGGAUACGCUCUUCGGAGGAAAGAUUUAUCGCUAAAAGAUUAGCCCGCGCAAGAUUAGCUUGUUGGUGAGGUAAGAGCUCACCAAGGCGACGAUCUUUAGCUGGUCUGAGAGGAUGAUCAGCCACACUGGGACUGAGAUACGGCCCAGACUCCUACGGGAGGCAGCAGUGAGGAAUAUUGGACAAUGGAGGAAACUCUGAUCCAGCCAUGCCGCGUGAGUGAAGAAGGCCUUAGGGUUGUAAAGCUCUUUCAGUUGGGAAGAUAAUGACGGUACCAACAAAAGAAGCCCCGGCUAACUCCG
rnacentral:rRNA from 1 species